rnacentral:lncRNA from 1 species
CCCCUGCCUUCACUCUGCUUCUAAAGUCAAUGUGUCAUCCCCCUCGGCCCACCCCUUGACCUGGAUUUCUCCCCAACUGCCCUGCCUCCUCUGGGCUCACCCCUUCCCCAUUGCCUCAUCUGCUACUCUCCCUUGCCUGGCUCUCUACCCUCUGACUACAUUCUCGCUGGGGACCUGCCUUCUCUUCUUUCCAACUGGACCUGGACUGAAACUCUGAGGCCAUUUCUCUGGUGACGAAAUCCCUCACAUCAGAGGCAAGAGGAUUUUCAAGACCAUUUCCUGCAUAAACAUUAGCUACUGGAGACAGCAUGGUUCAGUGGCAGAAGAUUCAGACUCUAGAGAACACUGUCCAGUUUGCAUCCUGACUGAGGGACCCUGGGUCACAAAUGCAGUUAACACUGGUGAAGAGAGACUGAGAAAAAAGAGGCCAAGAAACCAUCACAUCGGCUACAUGUUCUGAUUUCACAGAGAAGUAGAGUGUCAGACAGGACACAGUCAUAGCUCUAGGGAAAUUGAGGUCUUUAAAAUGAUUAUUUUGAAUUCUAGAUGAUGCCAUUUUGCUUUUCGCAACUCAAUAUUCCAGCCACAGAAUUGUCCCCUUGGAACAUUCUCCUACUUGAAGUUUCCACGGUUUGAAUGAAAGACGUGUAAGAAAUAUUUUCAUAUUGUCUGUCACACUUAAAUUCAAAUGUCAUGUUUAAUGAGCCACAGGCCACUGAUCUAAAGCAGAGAUCAUUAAUUGUUCAAAGCCUAGGGUGAAGUCAGCAUUAGUGUGAUAAUUUGAC